rnacentral:rRNA from 1 species
UACGUAGGGUGCAAGCGUUGUCCGGAAUUAUUGGGCGUAAAGAGCUCGUAGGCGGUUUGUCGCGUCUGCUGUGAAAACUGGGAGGCUCAACCUCCAGCCUGCAGUGGGUACGGGCAAACUAGAGUGCGGUAGGGGGAGAUUGGAAUUCCUGGUGUAGCGGUGGAAUGCGCAGAUAUCAGGAGGAACACCGAUGGCGAAGGCAGAUCUCUGGGCCGGUAACUGACGCUGAGGAGCGAAAGCAUGGGGAGCGAACAGG